CCCGGCCGAUACUCAGGCAAACGGGCCUGACAAGAAACCAACUCCUGUAAAUCCCAAAAUUCGGGAUUGCGCGCGGUUAGCACCGAUGAUGCCAAAGCGAGUUAGUUAAAUGUGACACGCCGGCUUGCCUUCUCAACAACACGGGCUAACUUCCACAAACACUAGACCCUCUCUUUAAAGGGACAAGUCAAACGUCCCACCCCUCCCCCCUUUCUUUUUCGUUUUUUAAAUUCUUUUCGCAGGAAGGCACCGAUAAUGCAGCUAUAUAUAUAUAUAUAUUUUUCUUUUGGUCGACUUCCUUUUUUUCAGUAUCUAUCAUGCGAACAGAAAUUGCGUUUACUUUAUGUAAUCCCCCUUUUUCUUUUGUUUAUAAAGAUGCACGCGAGACACACAUUCGCAAGCAAGCGCGCGCAACUUCGUUAACGCGAUAUAAUCGGCCAAACCGAUGGAUGAUUACGCGCGUUAAAAAUAGAAGUUACAUAUCACGGGUACAUAAGUUGCGUAAUGUAUCGUUUUACAGAGUCAUGAUCCGCGGCGUGUAUGUGUGUUGAUGAGUGUUUGCAAAACGUAACGCAAAACCAAGAGGAGGGACACAAAAAAAAAAGGCGAAUGUACAGGCUGCCGAUUUUAAAUCUCAAGAUGCAAAACGCGGAGAAUGAAAACAAAAGCGUCGCAUCUUCGCACGUUUGACGAUCUUCAUUGAUAUCGCCUCGAGUGUAUAUAUCUCUCGUAUGUGCGGGAUAUCCUGCGCGUUAAGGAGCGUUACGAAGUGAAAGGUGACUUCGUCGAUCUAUCUCGGGACAGUCCGUACAAGCGCUCGUGCUCACAGAUGGUUCAAGCAAUAUUCCGGCGUUAGCGUGCGAUGCGAAAGAAAUGGAGAAGAGUUUUUCUGCGCGGAGUCUCGUAUACAUAUGCCGAUCCCGGGGCACCUUAUCGGUCUCAUUGUUGAGAAACUUCAUGACUGAUCCGCAUACUUCAUACGUUACAGAUUAGAUUACACACGUAUAUAUUUACGUAAUGCUCCUCCGCAGGAGUAUACACUUUUCGAUUCCGCAUUACUUUUCAAGCUAUCCGUACGCGCGUACGUGUAGAUAUCUGCUUAAACGUGUGUAUGUACGUAAGUAUACACGCGCGAACGUGCAGAUCUUUUUUUACAAUGAUCUUUUUUUUUUAUACAUUUAUCUGAUUCAUUGUUGUAAAGAGCGUGUGAAGAUCCCCAUAACUUUUCGUAUUUUCUUUCCUCAAGAGACAAUCUAUGUAUAUAUUAUCCUUGAAAGACAAAUAUACAUUAUGCCUGAUGCGGUAAGAAAUGCAAUACUUGUAAAUGCGCGAACAUCUCUUCUCGUAAUUGUAUAUUACAUUUUCAAAAUAGCCAGUUUUUUUUUUAUUCGCCAAUCGCUUAAUCAGACAUUGGAAUAUGCAGAUUGACAUGUGUGUUUUUUCGACGAAACUAUUACAAGUGCUUCUCGCAACAAGAAACUUUAUCACCGCAAAAAUUCAAACGUUAUUCAGGACAGCGCGCACAAGGACUUUCUUUGUCCGCAAACAUAGAAUUGUAACGAUUACAUACGUAUAAAUAAGUCAUUGCAUAACGAUGAUCGAUUAAUACGGGGAGGAUGACAAUUCGAGAGAUCUCGUCCACACACGCCCCUUACCUUGCAAACAAAACGUUUAUACUAGAGUAGCGCAAGCCUCGAGAUAGGCACAUUGUGCAAGACAGUUAAUUAGCAAGAAAGUUUUUCAAGAUAUGUAUGGCAAACCUGAUGAGAAGGGCCAACCCGAAUCUCGCCCUGGGUGCCAGCAGACAUCUCCCCCUCCUCCGAAGCUCCUCCGUCUUUCUCCAGCGUUUUGAAUGGCUUUGAUCUUGGAUUUUCAGUAAAUUCCUAUCAUCCACCCCCUGAACCGUAUAGUUAUGCCAUCAAUAUGAUUGAAAGACGAUUUGGCGAAAAAAAUAUUAUACUGCUAACAUGCUCGGCCUCGUCUUUAUACAAAAAAAGAAGAUAAGAAAAACUACAUGUAUGCAUUGGCGCCUUAUUUACAGAGAUAAUGUAAACGGAACCGCUAAAACUCUGAUAAUUUUCUACAGCCUUAGUGUUAAACCUAGCGUAUUUGCAUAAUACUGAUUUGCGCGGUAUCAAAUGAAAACAUACACGAAAGCAUCGUUUAAGAAAAAAAAAAAAAAAGUCACGCUCGUAUCUACUACAAAUGUAUUGACUGUUGACAAGUACAUACAUCCUCCGGAGAUAUCAAUAAAAUUUCAAUAUAAAAAUUGCAAA